rnacentral:rRNA from 1 species
AUCUACUGUUUAUCUGAACGUGCCCGAUCCCGUCCGAUCUCAGAAGCUAAGCAGGGUCGGGCCGGGUUAGUACUUGGAUGGGAGACCACCUAGGAAGACCAGGUGCUGUAGGCG